CCCGCUCCCGCUCCCGCUCCCUCUCCAGCUCCCCCUCCCGCUCCCUCUCCACCUCCCGCUCCCGCUCCCCCUCCCUCUCCCGAUUUCCACAGUCUCCCUCUGUUGCCAAGGCUGGACUGUACUGCCGUGAUCUCGGCUGGCUGCAACCUCCCUGCCUGAUUCUCCUGCCUCAGCCUGCCGAGUGCCUGGGAUUGCAGGCGUGCGCCGCCACGCCUGACUGGUUUUUGUAUUUUUGGUGGAGAGGGGGUUUCGCCCUGUUGGCCAGGCUGGUCUCCAGCUACUGACCUCCAGUGAUCUGCCCGCCUCGGCCUCCCGAGGUGCCGGGAUUGCAGACGGAGUCUUGCUCACUCAGUGCUCAAUGUUGCCCAGGCUGGAGUGCAGUGGCGUGAUCUCGGCUGGCUACAGCCUCCACCUCCCAGCAGCCUGCCUUGGCCUCCCAAAGUGCUGAGAUCUCGCAGCCUCUGCCUGGCCGCCACCCCGUCUAGGAAGUGAGGAGCGUCUCUGCCUGGCCGCCCAUUGUCUGGGAUGUGAGGAGCCCCUCCGCCCGGCUGCCUCAUCUGGGAUGUGAGGAGCGCCUCUGCCCGGCAGCCCCGUCUGGGAGGUGAGGAGCAGCUCUACCCGGCCACCACCCCGCCUGGGAAGUGAGGAGCGCCUCUGCCCGGCCAACACCCCGUCUGGGAUGUGAGGAGCGUCUCUGCCCAGCUGCCCCGACUGGGAAGAGAGGAGUGCCUCUGCCCGGCCACCCCGCCUGGGAGGAAAUUCUUGAUAAAAAUUACAGCCUGAUCUCAGUUGUGCAACAGGAAUUUUGAAGAGCAGCCACCCUCCCUGAAGCCAUCUAGGGAACACCAGCAGAAUCACACUGGAGGACUGGUGUCCACAGAAGGCCACAAGCUUGUGAAGGUCAACUCAGCUGUGGCAGCUGAGCAACUGUCGGGCAAGUCUGCUGGAAUCUGAAAACCCAGAGACAUUUGUCCUGGGGGAUAUAUGGUAUGGUUCCCUUGGGUUCUCAGAAAUGACUGAGAUGACAUUUUGAGAGAAGCUAAGUUUUGGAAAUUAGGCCAGAGACUUAUGCCAAAAUUGUGGAUAAAGAGGAAGUUCCUGUUUGGGUUGUAGUGACAGGCUGUUGAGACUGGUGAAGUAAGCAUCACACUCAAUUUACCCCACACUAUGAGGAGCAAAAGAGUUCUUAAAAAGACAGAGAGGCAUAGCCUCAUCAUCAGAGCUCUUUAGGGAAACUGGGGAUUACCUCUAUAUGUCAGAUUUUCAAAUUAGCGUUGCACACCAGAGACCUCUUCAGGUGAGGUGAACUUGUAAAAAUACCUGAGAAUGGUUGUGAAACUGUAGUGUGCUGCUGCUGUGACUUCUGUUUUAUUUUUUUCAUUUCAUUUACUUUUCUAUAUACGAGUGUGUGUGUUUGUGCACACACACAGAGUAUAUAUAAGACAUAGAUACUUAUAGUACAUAGAAAUGUAUUUGUAUAAAUACAUGUAUGAUGUUGAAAGUUUGAGAUUCUUUGUUUUUUGAUAAAAACUAGUUAAAAUUGUUAUUAAGAUCUGAAAAUUAAUUCAGUCAGUUUUAAGAGACAUAGAAAUUCAGAGCAGCAAUCCCUGUUUGGUAAAUGCUUCUGUGGGGGACAACAUUCUCCACUAAGGUAAUUUUGAGCCACAAUCUUAAAUCAAACCACGAAAGAUAGAAAUUAUUUCCUUGGAAUAAGCUGUGAACAGUAUUACCUAAGGCUUUGGAUAAUUUCAAAUGAAAUGCUGAAUUUAGUAUAUUGAAUGACACAGCAUCUUUAUUUUAAAAUGGAACAAGUCAAUAAGGUAUUUACAGGAACACACAGCUUGAAUAAUAAAAUGUGUGUGAAUAGAUCUUAAUAAUUCAUUCCAUGUGCUGAUGCAAUUUGAUACAAACUCAAGCGUUUUAAUAAGAACUGUAAGCUGUUUUUUGAAAUUAUGUAUUGGAUUAGAGAGAGAGAGAGAACAGACCAAUUAAGCAACGAAAAAGAAGCGGGGAAUUGCUAAUGCUGAAUGAGUAGGAGCCAUCUGGAACUAUAAAGCGUCCCCAACAACCUACAGCUUCCCACACAGAUCGUAACCUCCUCCUCCGAUACCCGCCCCCACUACUUUGUGUAGGAGUUUAUCUUUUCCAGCUAUCACUAUGGGUAGGGUAAAAACUACUUUUAUAAAAAUUACCUUCAUGGUUACUGAAAGCUGAAGAGGAAUACUUCACUAACCAUGGGUCAUGACUCAUAGCGUAAAUACUUAUCUAGUAAGCAUUUAUAAUAUUUCUUUGGUGCUAAUUUUCUCAUUGAAUAAAGUUUGCUUUCAUUUUGUUUCAUCCACAUCAUAGCGGCACUUUCUGGCUGAGCUGCUUAACCCUCUGAAUUCAACUAUUUGCAGAGGCAUAAAGAAUUUUGAUGACUAUUUCAUUAUGCUUCCUCUAAAAAUAUGUUUUAAAGUCUCUAAAGAUUGUUGACUGUGUGCAAAACACUCUAAAGCUUGUUUCAAAGUAACAUAAAGCAUUUAGAUGAGAAAAGGGAAUAUACACAAUCCACUUCAGCUACACAUAAACUGGUUCAUGUGUUAAGGACAGUUCUAGAACUUUGGAAACUUGGAUAAGGACGCUCCUUCUGAGUAUAGUUCUCAUAGCACAAUCCCAAAGACACUGGAACCAACUUCAACUCCCACUGAGCUUAGAACCUACCCUUUACAUUACCCUAGAAAAACAAACACACUCUUUUAUGUAACCCCUCUCCCCAUUCUCCCCCUUCUUUUACAAAUUAUAUGCUAAAAUGCUCCCAACGUACUUAUAAAUAGAUCCAAUAAGACAUCAAUUUCUACACCUUCCAAGAGGGAGGGGAAACAAUCACAGGAAAUGAGGUGAAAACAAAUACUAUUGGCCGGGCGCAGUGGCUCACGCCUGUAAUCCCAGCACUUUGGGAGGCCGAGGCGGACAGAUCACGAGGUCAGGAGAUCGAGACCAUCCUGGCUAACACGGUGAAACCCCAUCUCUACUAAAAAUACAAAAAAAAUUAGCCAGGCGUGGUUGCAGGCGCCUGUAGUCCCGGCUACUCGGGAGGCUGAGGCAGGAGAAUGACAUGAACCCGGGAGGCGGAGCUUGUAGUGAGCCGAUAUUGUGCCACUGCACUUCAGCCGGGGCGACAGAGCGAGACGAGACUCUGCCUCAAAAGAAAACAAAAUAAAAACAAAAACAAACAAACAAAAAACAAACCAAAUGUUAUUAACCAAAUUACUAAAAUAAAGGAAACUUGAACACUAAAGAAUAAAUAAUUUUCACAAGAACAUUCUAAAGCAAAUUGUAGUAUCACUUUAUUUUCAUUAUUGUAGUAACAUUUCUUCAAUGACUUGGUAUCAAUAAAUUGUAUACAAAUAAAAGUCCUGUGUUGGCUUAAUAUUUCAUUUUUCAGCUUUUGUGUUAGGGUCUAUAAACAAGUUUAUUGGUACCUGUGUUUACAGAUGCACCAUAUUUAAAUGUAGUAUAAAGUCUGAUAUAUAUGAGAAUACGAUGGGAUAUGU
rnacentral:lncRNA from 10 species